rnacentral:lncRNA from 1 species
AAGACAUGAAAGGGAGAAAUUUCAUUGUCUCACAUCCUAAAUAUUAAUAUACACCGAAUACAUCCAAGUUUCUGAAACAUCAUGAACUCCCCAACUAUGUUUUAUUUUGUGCUUGAUUGUUGCAUAUGUGAAAAAACUGUGGUUACCAUUAUUGUCCUCCAUGAAGACAUGAAAGGGAGAAAUUUCAUUCUCACAUCCUAAAUAUUAAUAUACACAGAAUACAUCCAAGUUUCUGAAACAUCAUGAACCCCCCAACUAUGUUAUAUUUUGUGCUUAAUUGUUGCAUAGGAAUGAAACCGAUUUAAGUACAGGAGCUAACCCAGCCAAUCAUUUCAUUGAGCAGUAGGGAAGCAUAGACACAAAGCAAUGUACUUGUUGUCAAACUGCAUGCUCCAGCGCACCUGAGCCCUGAGGAGCUAGCAUUUCAAGCUUCAGUGAGGAGUAGAGAUUCCAUGGUAAGGUAGGGAAAAAUGAUUACCAACGGAAAUCAUUUGUAUGAUCACCCCAAUGCAUCAGCUAUCAAUCUAGACCAUAAGAUUCAGCAAUCUGAAAGUUGAAUUAGGGAAACCAUUAUUGAUGAACCUAUAACAGGAAAAGAUAAUCUGCAGCAUAUCAUUUUAUACCCACAGUUUUUUCACAUAUGCAUUUUAACAAACACAAAGCGUGCACACACUAGAUGGGGACAGGGAAGCAGCAGUCCUCCACACUGCCAAAGGAGUAGGCGUCGACGGCGGUGGCGGUGGCGUUGGCGGCGGGGGAUUCGGCGUCGGUUGCAGUAGGCGUCGGCGGCGGUGGCGUCGGCGUCGGGGAGGAGUCACUGCCAGGGGCGGCGGCGUCGGUGGCAGGUGGGCGGAAGGAGGAAAGGCGGGGUAUCUGGGGCGGCAACGGCGGUUGCGGUUGGGCAAUGGCGGUUGCGGGUGGGCAGCAGCGGCGCUAGGCGUCGGCGGCGGGGAGGAGGUGGAGUCAGCAGCAGGGGCAGUGGCGUCGAUGGCAGGUGGGCGGAAGGAGGAGGAAAAGCGGGGGGAUCUGGAGCGGCGGCGGCGGGGGAGAAGCGCGAGAGAGAUCGGAUCGGUGCGGCGGCGGUCGAGGGAGGCGCGAGGAUGGAUUGAGGGGCGGCGAUGGUGUGAAGGAGGCGGGAUACGACGACGGCGGAGAGGGAGAAGUCUGCGGUGUCGGGUGACGAGUGAGAAGAGGAGGCGCCGUUUCUUUUUUUUUCGCGUCGCGGAGGAGUAGCGUGUGCCGUUUC